GAGGCGGGGAGGCGGCAGCGGUUCGUUGGCUGGUGUGGGCAUAUAACCUACUUGUAAGACAAGUUCUUGUCUGCGGGCCUCUGCCUGGCCCUAAAUAUGUAUGUUCUCGAAUCUUAGUGACCAAGUGAUCGCCAAGGCCGCAUCAGACAAGGGUGGGGGGGUCGGUGCCUUUGUCUACAACGGAAGAUGGCGACGGGCAGGGUGUGAGAAAAUGGCCGCCAGGGUCACAUGUUUUGCUGAGUAUACCCACCUGAAAUGACUAGGAGAGUGAACUCCCUGAGACUAGGAGCCAUCUAUCUUCGCGCCCUCAGCAGGACCCAGCACAAGACUGGUACAAGGCACGCUUCAGCAAAUGUUUGUUAAACGGGUUUUCUGUAUUCUUACUGGGUUUUUGUUGCUGUUGUUGUUCAUUUGAUCUGUCCUGGAAUGAGAAAGUAUUAAACAAGACUUCCAGUUCUAUGUUAAACAGUAGUUGGUGAGGGUAAGUAUCUAGUCUUAUUCUUAAUCUUCAAGGAAAUGCAUCUUAAGUUUCUCCAUUUUCUGCAAAGUAUGCUGUAAAAUUUUGGUAUGUAACCUUCACCAAGUUAAGAAAUUUGCCUUCUAUUCAUAUUUUUUAAAGAGUUUUCAUCGUAAGUAGGCAUGUAACAUAAUUUUCGUAUAUUAAUUGAGAUACUCAUAUGAUUAUUAUCCCUUAGUCUAUUCAUGUGGUAAAUUACAUUGAUAGAUUUUUCUGAGUUUGAAUGCAUUCUCCUUGCAUUCUUGGAAUUAACUCCAUUUGAUUGUGAUGUAUUUUUUAAAUACUGUUGGAUUCGAUUAGCUAAUAUUUAAUUUACGAUUUAUGCAUCUAUAUUCAUAAGUGAAAUGAGUCUAUAAUUUUCUUUAAUUGUCCUUAUCUGUUUUUAAAAUCAAGACUUCAAGAUUUUACUAGACAAAUAAAAUGAGCUAGGCAGCUUUCUCUCCUUUUCUAUUUUCUGGAAUAACUUGUAUAAGAAGAGAAGUAACUCCUGAGAGUCCCGCACACUAUACCUGUAAAUCCAUCUGGGCCUGGAUUUGGGGGGAAGCGAUGUCCUUACCUACCAUUUCAGUUUCAUUAAUGCCUAGUGGUCUAUUCACGUUCUCUACUUCCUAUGCCAUUUUUAUCACUUUAUAUUUUUCUAGGAAAAAAACUUUAUCUAGAUGUUUUCAAUUAUUUCUGUCUAGUACCUAGCAGUCAGGUUUCUGGCUUGAGUACUUGGUGGUGCCUUCACAGAGAGGGGGGCACAAGAGGAGCGGCAUGUCUGUUAUUUGGGGGCCAGAGGAAGUUUGGCUACCUCUACACUUUCAGCAAAGCAAUGGCUAUAUGUGAUUCUCUGUUGCUUUGGAUAUUUGUGAUUAUGUAUGAAUGUGCACACUUCUAUAAAGGUGUGUUUUUUAUACAUGAUGCUCUGGUGUGUUUCUGUUUAUAUGAAAAUGUCAGGCUGAAAAAGAACAAUUUUUCUAUGUAAUUAUUUUUCUGUAUCUGUUUGCAUGGGUCCGUGAGCUGUGAUGGGGGUAUUUCCAUGGUUCUCUCAAUGUCCCUGUGUACAUCAGCAUCUCUGCCAGCUGGUUAUUACAAGAUAUUGAAUACAGUUCCCUGUGCUAUAGUAGGUCCUUGUUAUUUAUUUUUAGGAGCUAAUAUUUUUGAGCAUUUCUUAUAUUUGAGGCAUGGUUCUAUAAGCUGUACAUGUGUUAGUUAAUUUAAUGCUCUUGGUAACACUGAAGCAGGUACUGUUAUCAGCCCUGUUUUACAGAUGAGGACACUGAGGCACAGCAAGUCAGCAGCACAACUAGGAUUGGAAUCCAAACAAUCUAACACCAGAGGCCAUACUCUUGACUACUCUGUCAGUGACAGAGAGAUACAGACAGACAGGGAUCUGGGGACAAGAUGGCAAACAGAUGAAACACACAUAGGGACAGAAAGAUGGAAACAAGAGACAGGCACAUGAGGAGAGCCACCCAGCAAGAGAGAUGGUAACAGAGGUAGAAAAGGGGUGAUAGAUGAGGAGAGACUCAAAGAGGGAAACAAGGGCAAGAAGACCAACAUAGGGGUAUGUGUGUGAGAGAGAAACAAAGAGAAUGUAAAUGUUAGUUGUGAGGGGGUGGGAGGCUGGGGUGAAGACAGAGACUGGAACAGAAAGGUGAGAAUAGAAAUAGAGAAAGAUAGGUGGGGAACAGAGACGGAUGAAUGCAGCAACAUAAAUACAAAGAUGAGAACUGGGAGACAGGCAGAGAUAAGAUAAAUAGGUACAGAGUGUUGGAGACAGGGGGGUGGACAGAAAAGAGGCCAAGGAGCCAAAGGAAAUUGAAAGAGAAGCAGAAAAGACAGAAACUUUGGAACACAGAUUCAGAAACAGAUGAGGUAGAGUAAUAUGGUAUUAUAUAUGUGAGGAUGGAGACACAGACCAAGAGGAGAACCAUAAGUUAGAUGGGGACAGGAUGGAGACAAGGCAACCCCCAACAGAGGCAAUGGAGAGAGAGUGAGAGCAAGAGCAAGAAGGGGAGAGAUUGAGAGAGAAUAGGAGAGAUAGGAAAGAGAAACCACCAGAGAGAUGUAAACAGAAAGACAACAGAGAGCAAAAUAAGAGAGAUGGGAGACAUCUGAAAGGUGGUGACAGUGAUGGUGAACUGGGGUGACAGUAAAAAAUAAAAGAAAUAGAGGCACAGAAUGAAAUAAUUUUGAUUCAACAACCACUCACAAGUCUUGGAUAUAUCAGGGCUGGCACUGGGCUGUGUGGUACCCAAUAGGCUGUGAGCUCAGGAAGGCAGGGCCUGGGCCUUUGUUAUGCAAUACUGUAUCCUCCACCUACAGUAUACUCCCAAUCAUGUGGAGGGCUACCAUUUAUUAAACAUUAGGUACUGGGGACUGUGCAUGCGUUUCAUGGAUUAUGUUAUUGAAUCCUCACAACUCUGAUGUAGUAGGUAUUAUUAUCAUCCCCAGUUUACAGAUGGGGAAACUGAGACUUAGAGCAAUGAGUAACUUACCCAGGGUCACACAGAGGAGCUAGGAGUGAAGCCCCAGCCUGGACCAAUGGUAGAGUAUGUCAUGAACCAAGGAUUAGGAUGAACCCUCUUCUUUCUGUACACCCAAGGUGCAAAAAAUCAAAUUCCAGUCUGCCUGCCUCCAAGGCCUACAUGUUUGACCACCAUACCACACUGCUCCAGUGAAGACUCACUCACAGACUGAUGGAAGACUGCUGAACCAAGAAAAAUGAUCUUAUCUCAUGCUCCAGUGACAAAAUAAAAGCCAUCAGACAUGGGAGAAUUGUUCCAGGACCUUCAUCUUCCCACCACUGAAUCUCUAAACCUCCCAGUAUCUGUAUUCAUCUUUUGUUUCAUUCCUUCCUGUUACAAUGAAGGGCCUGAGGACCUCUCCUCUCUGAGGCCCAGUACCUCAGAUCCCAGCUCCUCCUUUCCCUUCCAUUAUUCCCUUUCUCUUCUGUGUUGCCAUCCAGUCCCUCUCUAUGGUCUCUGGGUCUUUCCCAGCAGCAAACAAGCAUAGUCUAGUAUCUCCCAUCUUAGAAAAAUCAUUCUUUGCCCCUCCUCCUACCAUCACCUUAGCUCUCUGGGCUCUGUUCCCAUUCACAGCCAUGUUUCACAAGGAAAUCGCCUACACACCUAGCUCCACUUCAGCAGGAUCGGGGGCAGUGUUUUAUUCCCUCUGACCUCAGGGAGGGUCCUGUAACAAUCUACCCUCCCACCAGCACUCUAUCCAAUUAUUCCUGCUUUUUAAAUUUUAUUUAUUUUUCAUGAUAAUACAUUAUAAAUUUUAUAAUAUACAUAUCUGUACAGUUCAAAUAAAUUAUAAAACAAAUACCUAUGUACCUGUACCCAUCACCCAGCUUCAAAAACAAAUCAUUUCUGAAUGACAAAACCCGCCAUGUAGCCCUCCCCAGUCACAUCUCCUUCCCCUCCCUGAGGUAACCAGUGUCAUUUUUCAUGCCUUGCUUUUUUGUAUGGUUUUACAACAUAUUACUGCAUCCAUAUAUUGUAUAAUUUUGACUGUUGUUCAACUUUACAUAAACAUAUUCUUUCAUGACUUUUUUGAAUCAG